rnacentral:sRNA from 1 species
CCUGUUGGGGCGAGAUGUAGUGCACAUGGGAGUCGAUGCCGCCGGCGGUGAGGAUCAGGUGCUCGCCGGUGAUGGCGUCGGUGGAGUUGCCCACGAUGAGGUUGGGGUCCACGCCGUUCAUCAUGGAGGGGUUGCCGCUCUUGCCGAUGCCCACGAUCCUGCCGUCGCGGAUGCCCACGUCGGCCUUGAUCACGCCCUGUUUGGCGUCGAUGAUGGUGACGUUGGUGAUCACGAGGUCGAGCACGCCCGCGGCGCGGUCGAGCCGGGCGUCGCCGCCCAUGCCGCCGCG